AUGCAUUUUAAAAUAACUGUCUCUAGGAAUCAAAGGGUGACCUCAGAGGACCCCAGCUUGCAUCAAGAGGCCUGAGGACACGUCUCCAAAGCCUGAUCUUGCUGAGCCGACCCAAGCUCUUAGAAGAACAUGACAGGAAUCAGCAAUCCCCUUGCUGUGAAAAAGUGCAACCGCACUGACCAUCUGCACUGGCCUUCAGUCAGGCGAUUGUCCCAGGCAAG